UACGAAGGGGGCUAGCGUUGCUCGGAAUCACUGGGCGUAAAGGGUGCGUAGGCGGGUUCUUAAGUCAGAGGUGAAAUCCUGGAGCUCAACUCCAGAACUGCCUUUGAUACUGAGAGUCUUGAGUUCGGGAGAGGUGAGUGGAACUGCGAGUGUAGAGGUGAAAUUCGUAGAUAUUCGCAAGAACACCAGUGGCGAAGGCGGCUCACUGGCCCGGUACUGACGCUGAGGCGCGAAAGCGUGGGGAGCAAACAGG
rnacentral:rRNA from 1 species